rnacentral:lncRNA from 1 species
GCCACCGAAACGACUGUUUUCUCUCCCACCACCACCCCGUCCAUUGUGAAUCCAUCAGAUAGAGGCUGACAGAAGCACCCACCUGUCUGGAGGCUAUGCAGAGGAGAUGGAUCCUGUGCAUUUUGAGCAACAGAUAACCCCUAGUGAGGGUAGAAGUCACUGGCACCAGUCUCCCUGCAUAUAUAGUAUCUCACUGAGCCACGCAUGGCGCUCCCAGGGACCUAGAAUAGCCCCUGCCUGGGCUGACUGGCUCUGCAUUGUUGGAAAAUGACCAGUAAGUAAGCAUCUCACUGUUAGUCAACACCUGUUGUUUAUGAAGCAUGUGACAAAUACAAUUUUAUUUGAUUGAUUUCAUCUCAUUCCCAGCCAAUAAUGAGCCACACUAAUGAGCAGGCCGGCCGGCCGCCCUGCAUGCUUCCAUUAAGCAGUGCUGUGAUUCAUGCUCGGUUCUGCAGGAAAUCAUCAUGCCCAAUGCAUUGUGGGUCCAGAGAUGAACUGAUGAAGUCUUUUUAUGGUAUCAGGGAGAUUUGAUCUAU